UGGUUAUCCGCUCAAAUCAAAAAGGCUGAGGCAUAUGCUGCAUUAAGAAAGCCUUUCCUUGUAAAUGAAUUGGGUCCACAACACCUUCUUCAUGAUAGAAGGAAGGUAUAUGAGUGUCUUGAAAUGCAUGGAAUUCCUGUUCCAAGAUAUGCCCUUGUAAAUAGAGAAGUGCCGUAUCAAGAGCUGGAUUAUGUUGUUGAGGAAGAAAAUUUUAUUGAGGUUCAUGGGAAUCGCUUUUGGAAGCCUUUUGUGGAGAAGCUUGUUAAUGGUAUGUUUGUUUCCUCAAUCAUUUGGACAUUGUGUUUUUGCUACUUCUGUUGUGAGUAUUUGGGCUAAAUAACGUGAUGUGAUGCAGUCCCUCUUGGAUGUGAUAUUUUAUUGGUUUGUCAACAAUAUCUGAUGUUUACUUAGUACAUAAACUUGGAUUGUAAGAAUAGUGGGAGGGAAGUGUCUUCCAGUACUGUUCUACAAUAUUAUUAGAACCAUAAUGGAGA